AAAUAAGCGGGCUUUUUCAUCAGAACAAUUCUACGACCCACAACCUUUAGUUCUCAUCAGCACUACUUUCCCACAACUAAACCCUAACUUUUCUAUGCUUACGAUCGAUCUCAUCUGAUCUCCUAAACCGCUUGAAAUUGUUGAAUUUUCGUUCCUCUCUUCAGUAUUAUCUUCAAUUAUCGGUUGCUUAUGAGGCAUCAAUGUCAGAGUAUUGUCCACUCUGAAUUUUCCAUUGAAGUGGCUUCCGAUGCUUUCUCUCCUCCAUUGAAGCAGCUUCUGAGUCAUUCUCAAACUCUCUCAAUCGGUUUCCACCACCACACCACUAACAUUUGCGACGGACAAUUGCGCUCAGGCCAUGGUAAACGGUGAUGCUAAUCCGGCCACGGUGUAAGUUAUUCUACUAAAUUUGUUUUCGUCUGAAUUAUGUAAUUAGGGUUCUAAAUUUUUUUUCAUCUCUAACAUUGUUAAAACCGAAUUUUUUUUAUAUUUUUUUAAAUGUUAAAUUAGCUUGAUGUGUAAUCUCCUGUGGUUAAAGCAGUAGAUCGAAGCAGUAGCAAAUGCCUAGCCGCAGAGGUUUUUUCCUCGAAUUUUUAGUUAUUUUAUUUGAAUUGUUUUCUGUAAUUUUGUUGAUUUUUGAGUGUAUAUUGAAUUUGAAAUUUUAGUUGAAUUUUCUAGGGUUUAUGUUUUGGUUAAUCUGGUAGAAUUUUUCUGGAUUAUUUUGUUUAUGUUGAUUAUAUUUGGUGGUUUUGAAGCAUUAUUGUUGUUGCAAUUUAGAUUUUUUUGGGUUAGAUUUUGCAUUUUCAUUGAUUUUUGUCAUAAACCAGUAAAUUAUGCUCUACUGUUGUUGUUGCCUAGCUAGGGUUUUGCAGUGAAACUUUUCUAUAGAUUGAGGUUUAAAUUGUUAAUAGAUAAAAAUAAAUACUUUGGUGACUGGUUGCCAUCAAAAUUGUAGAAAGAACAAGCAUGAUAAAAUUCUACUAUUUGGAUUCAGUGUUGUUUAUACACUAUAUAAAUCGUUAUCAAAUUCUUUUUUUAGUUGUCAAAUUAGAACUAGAGAGAAUUAUUAUUUUUCUUUACGAGGACUUUUUCUCACAUUUAUGUUGUCUGUUUCGUUUUUAUAUAUAGAAAUCUGUAGAUAUUAUGCAGCAACUUUUUCCAUUCUGUUUUGUAUAGGUUAAUCUAUCUCUAUUAGCAAUGAAAUAAAAGUAGGAGCUGCUUUUGUUUCUUUGUUGUUUUGAAUGGAUGAUUUUCUCCUGCUUUUUCAGCACAUUUGUUUCUAUCUCUCAUUUGUUUCAUCCCUAGUUACAUAGUAAAGAAAAAAGAAACUGCUGCUUAUUUGCCUUUUUUUUAUAUGAAAUUAUUUGGCUUAACAUGUAGAUUGCAGCAACGGUGAUUCUCAGCAUCCCAAAAUGGAACUUCCUGGUACUGAUUACAUGCCCUUGAAUCGACAUGUAUUUUAUUUAAUAUUUAUAAAAUGCAGUUUUUAAAACUCUAUCAAAAGGCAAAGAGCUCUAGAUAUCUUCUAAGAUCAAGAUAUUUUAUAUAUCUUCUCCUAGUGUUACCCAUUAUAGAGCUUUAAACUUAUAGUCGAAGUUUUCAAGAUAGUGCAAGAAAGGUCAAUAAGCCUUAUGGGGAGGAAAACGGAUCUGCAAAUGCUAAGUCAUAACCAAAAUAAAUGUUGGUUAUAAUCUCAUAGUUCCUAAUACUGAGUAUUGAUGUUAUUUGGUGAUUAGUCAAUAGUUUUAUUAUGUAAUAAUAUGUAUUGCAGUUGAACAUUUCUAUUAUAGAAUAUGGAUUAUAUUUUCUAUAAACUAUUGGUGUUACAUUUAGUUUAACACUAAAAUGGUUCUCCUGAUUUGAAGGAUGAGCUCUUAUGGGCAGCUACUUGAUUGUACCGAGCCACGAAUACUGACUACUACUUAUAGUAUGCAUCUUACAAUGCAACCAAUUUAGGUAGAACUGGUAAUUCAGUCAAGAUGUUCUCUUGGGAUAACAAGUAUGCUGGUGUACAGAUCCUUCUA